GAGGGGCUGAGGAGUAAAAACUGCAAAUUACAGAAACUGAACCUGGAGUUAUGUGGAGUCACCUCCAGAUGUUGCUCAGCUCUCUCUACAGUCCUUUCAUCUCCAAACUCACAACUGAUUGAACUAAAUCUGGGAGAUGAGAACAAUGACAUUGAAGUGGGCAACGAAAACAACAUUGGAGAUUCAGGAGUGGCUCACCUGUGUGAGGGGCUGAGGAGUAAAAACUGCAAAUUAGAGAAAUUGAACCUGUCUUAUUGUCAUCUCACCUCCAUAUGUUGCUCAGCUCUCUCCUCAGCUCUUUCUGCUCCACACUCACGACUGACUGAACUGAACCUGAACAACAACAACA